CGUAGGGUGCGAGCGUUAAUCGGAAUUACUGGGCGUAAAGCGUGCGCAGGCGGUUUUGUAAGACAGGCGUGAAAUCCCCGGGGCUCAACCUGGGAACUGCGCUUGUGACUGCAAGGCUAGAGUACGGCAGAGGGGGGUGGAAUUCCACGUGUAGCAGUGAAAUGCGCAGAGAUGUGGAGGAACACCAAUGGCGAAGGCAGCCCCCUGGGUCGAUACUGACGCUCAUGCACGAAAGCGUGGGUAGCAAACAGGAUUAGAUACCCUGGUAGUCCACGCCCUAAACGAUGUCAACUAGGUGUUGGGUGGGUAAAACCAUUUAGUACCGGAGCUAACGCGUGAAGUUGACCGCCUGGGGAGUACGGCCGCAAGGUUA
rnacentral:rRNA from 1 species